AAAUUGAAGAGUUUGAUCAUGGCUCAGAUUGAACGCUGGCGGCAGGCCUAACACAUGCAAGUCGAACGGUAACAGGAAGAAGCUUGCUUCUUUGCUGACGAGUGGCGGACGGGUGAGUAAUGUCUGGGAAACUGCCUGAUGGAGGGGGAUAACUACUGGAAACGGUAGCUAAUACCGCAUAACGUCGCAAGACCAAAGAGGGGGAGCUUCGGG
rnacentral:rRNA from 1 species